rnacentral:sRNA from 1 species
UCCAUGAGGUAUAGGUGCUGAAUCGGC